rfam:Flavobacteriaceae bacterium MAR_2010_188 genome assembly, chromosome: I
CAACCACUGGCGAGAUACGUGGAUGUUG